AUAGCGUAUAUUAAAGUUGUUGCCGUUAAAAAGCUCGUAGUUGAACCUUGGACCUGGCUGAUCUGUCCUCCUAAUCGAGCGCACGGAUUCGGUCGGGUCUUUCCUUCUGGGGAGCCCUAUGCCCUUCACUGGGUGUAGUGGGGAACCAGGACUUUUACCUUGAAAAAAUUAGAGUGUUCAAAGCAGGCCUUUGCUCGAAUACAUUAGCAUGGAAUAAUAGAAUAGGACAUCGGUUCUAUUUUGUUGGUUUCUAGGACCGCUGUAAUGAUUAAUAGGGAUAGUCGGGGGCGUCAGUAUUCAAUUGUCAGAGGUGAAAUUCUUGGAUUUAUUGAAGACUAACUACUG
rnacentral:rRNA from 1 species